rnacentral:rRNA from 1 species
UUGAACGCUGGCGGCAGGCCUAACACAUGCAAGUCGAACGGUAACAGGAAGAAGCUUGCUUCUUUGCUGACGGGUGGCGGACGGGUGAGUAAUGUCUGGGAAACUGCCUGAUGGAGGGGGAUAACUACUGGAAACGGUAGCUAAUACCGCAUAAUGUCGCAAGACCAAAGAGGGGGACCUUCGGGCCUCUUGCCAUCGGAUGUGCCCAGAUGGGAUUAGCUAGUAGGUGGGGUAACGGCUCACCUAGGCGACGAUCCCUAGCUGGUCUGAGAGGAUGACCAGCCACACUGGAACUGAGACACGGUCCAGACUCCUACGGGAGGCAGCAGUGGGGAAUAUUGCACAAUGGGCGCAAGCCUGAUGCAGCUAUGCCGCGUGUAUGAAGAAGGCCUUCGGGUUGUAAAGUACUUUCAGCGGGGAGGAAGGGAGUAAAGUUAAUACCUUUGCUCAUUGACGUUACCCGCAGAAGAAGCACCGGCUAACUCCGU